CAGCAGCCGCCGCGGUAAUACGUAGGGUGCGAGCGUUAAUCGGAAUUACUGGGCGUAAAGCGUGCGCAGGCGGUUUGUUAAGACAGAUGUGAAAUCCCCGAGCUUAACUUGGGAACUGCAUUUGAAACUGGCAAGCUAGAGUCUUGUAGAGGGGGGUAGAAUUCCAGGUGUAGCGGUGAAAUGCGUAGAGAUCUGGAGGAAUACCGGUGGCGAAGGCGGCCCCCUGGACAAAGACUGACGCUCAGGUGCGAAAGCGUGGGGAGCAAACAGGAUUAGAUACCCCUGUAGUCCCUGUCUCUUAUAC
rnacentral:rRNA from 1 species